GGGAGAGAGAGAGGGAGAGAGAGGGGGAGAGAGAGGGGGGGGGAAAGAGACUGGGGCAGAGAAAAAGGGACAGAUAGGAAAACGGCAGACCAGGGUUGUAUUUAUUGGGGGUGUGAGUGCCGCGCUGUAGGCUGUGGGAUGGUCGGGAGAGUGCAAGGUGUUGCUGUUAGGUGUGGUUGGGUUUACAGAAAGGGGAAGAGCAUGCAUAGAUAGAAUGGUGGAGUGAGGAAAAAAAAAGAGAGAGAUGGAAGGAUUGGUCAUGCGCAAGGAGUCGACUUGCUUCCCCUUUCUCCACCUCCCCAUUAUGUAAAACUGUGGAUUAGACCGCAGGCCGUUGGAGGCAGCUUAGAAAUCUCUUACAUCUGGAACAGCCAUAAUUCGUGGGAUUUGGCCUGACAGCCAUGACAGGCACUGGGGCGGCCAGCAACAACUGUCUCCUGUGUUAGCAGCAGUCUGUACGUUAGCUCCGUGAGAGAGAGGGAGAAAAAGAGACAGAGAAGGAGAGACAAAGAGUGUCAAUAUGCAGAAGCCGUGUGUAUACAUUCAAACUUCCACUUUAUCCCGGGAGCUCAUGGAGAUUAAACUCACCUCAACAAUGUUUGCACUUUUUUUUUUUUUUUCCAAGUUUGGGACAAUGUAAAAUGUAAUCACGGCACAUUUACAGUACAGUUGUAGAAAGUAAAUUCGUAAGUUUAUUCAAACAAUUUACUUUUUGGUUUUAUACCUUAAAUCCUGCUUUAUGCUCCUAAUUCAUUAUGGUAAUUGUUUAAUUCAGUCCACUACAAAUAUUUCACGUCACACUAAUUAAUAUUUUCAAAAUUUAUGAUAAAAAUAAAUACAUUGGUAAGUGGUUUGGUAUGUACAAAGAUUUUGUAUAUUUUUAAAUGUUUAAUUCUAUAUUAAAUAAAUUGUCUAACUACAUUUAAAUGAAUUCUACAGCAACUGAUCAGUAAUUUUAAUGUAAUAAUAUACCUAUGAUAUAUUUACAUAUCACAAGAUUAAAUGGAAAAAAUUAUUUUUUACAGUUUUUUAACAUCUUUAAUAUAAAAACAGGAAUAAUAUUUUUUUUUACCUGAAGCAAAUUGAAAUGAGUGUUUUAUUAUUUUUACAUAUUUGGCAUUGAAACUUUUACUUAAACAGAUAUUUUUCUAUCUAGAAUCCCAGGAAGUACAGUAUUAUCAAAUUGACAGAAAUAUAAUAAAAAUGAAGAUAUUUCAGUCUAAGUAAAGCGCAGUAAUUUUUGUUAAACGUGUAUCAUAUUUUACAUACUGUACAUAUAACUACAUGAGUGUGUUUCUGUACUUUCCCCCCAUAAAAGCACAUGCAGGACACAUAAAUUGACUUGCAGCAGAAAAAGCAGCAGCGUCCAUGUGUUUCAUGGCAUGCCAGAGGCUCCCUGUGUCGGCCCUAAAUAUUACACACAGACAGUAGCUAUCACUUCCAAGCCUGAAAUCCCACAUUCCACAUUCCUGAUUCCAACGGCUCGCCUGCUAAGCUGGGCACCACAUGAAGAGCCAUUGUUAGAGCGAGAGGGGUCAUGUAUCUCUCUCGCUCUCUGUCUGUCUGUCUGUCUCGAGCUUUCUCUCUCUGCCCUCCUUCUCUUGCUCGCUUUGUCUCUCCGCCCAUAUAUCUCUCACUGUCACAGUCUCCAUCUGUGACUCUCUUGCUCCGUCUAUCUUUCUAUUUCUACCUCUGCCGGUUUAUCUUUAUCUCCCUUACUUAUUCCUCCUCUCCUCCGCCGUGCUUUGUCGCCCACUCUCCCACUCAGUUUUUCCGUCGUCUUGCAUGUGUUUGUUUAUUUCUUUCUAUACCUCGCUCAGCCUCCUGUCUCCUCCUGAUGCUGUUUGUCUGUGGCUCUCCUUCGGUCUACAAGACUCUUACUUUGCUUUCUGCCUUUUCUCCCCCCCCCCCCUUUGUCUCUCUCCAUCUGUAUCCCGUUGUCUGACUCUCCAUCUCCCCUCUCCCUCUGUGUCUCUCCAGAUAUUCAUGUAGAGAUUUUCUCACAUGUUAGAUAUAGAUUUAUGACCCCAGUCAGAUCCCCGUGGCCACUAAAUUUGAUACCAUCCACUAAGCCACAUUGUUUUUUUGUGUGUUUGGGCUUGUCUGUUGUGUGUAACUGUGGGUAAGUAUGUAUGUUCGUGUCUGUGGGUGUGUGUCCAUGCAUUACAAGGUGGAGGCGGGUGACUUUUAAAGGGUUAGCUUGGGUACGGUGGGCGCAGAGGAGGAAUUUACAGUUUAUUGAAGCACAGCAGUCAGGUGUGUGUGUGUGUGUGUGCACGCACAUGUCCAUGUGUGUGAAAUAGAAAAAGAGAGAGGGAGAGAGAGAGAGAGAGUGCCUGUGGGUGCCAGGUGACCAGGCUAACCUCUUGGCUGGUGUUUUGGAUUUAGCCUUUGGAUAGAGGAGAAAAAUAAAAAUGGAAUGCUUUUUCAAUUACAGAUCAGAAAGAGAGUGAACAAAGGCAGCAGUAAAGGAAAAGAUGAGUUAUUGGGAUCUAAUAUAUCAUGGCGUAACACUCCUAAAAAUCUGACUGCAUUAAUUUUGACUUUUGGAACAUUUUGUACUUUAAACUCAGAGAGCUGAGCUGAGUCCCGAAGUUUUGCUCAAUUUUUAUUUAUUUUUUUGGAAGUGAUUAAUGUUUUACACUCUAAACUGUUUCAACGUAUUUUAGAAAAUUGCGUGUGUGUGUGUGUCAUGAAAAAUGUGAAUAGAGCUACCGUAAUAACUUUUCCUUUUUUUUUCUUAUCUAAGAGAAGAUUCUCAUGCAUUUGACAUCACGCUGUUGAGUUAUGGCUGGGCUCAGAAGCAGCGCACAAAAACAGAACAUUGGAAAGAAUACAAUAUGAAGAUCCACAGACACACACACACCUGUGGAAAACAGCCACUGCUACUGUCUUUUUGUUGCAUGUUAUUAAUUCUGACAGUAGUCUCUUUAAAAGUGCUCGUCCUCUGCCAUGCAUAUUUUAUUGGCUGUAGGUGGUAUUUGUUGUGUAUUUAUGCCUGUUUGUUUGAAUGCUCCGUUCCUUCAACCUAUUCCACAAGUUGUCAAGGGUGGGGUAUUUGAAAAUGACACUGCGGAGCACCGAGGAUUGUAAUACUGAUGUUUGUGUGAUGUGAAAUGGUAUUCGCCUUUUGAUGUUUGGCUAGGAGGAAAUACACAAAAAAGCCUUGCAAAAUAAAGGUGUUUUCAUGCACGUGUUUGAGAGUGCGUGCACGUGCGUUCUCUGGAAAUUGUUUAUCUGUCAGUCAGCGUGUGUGCAAAUUGCCUGCACUAGUGCAAGUGUUUGCAUCCAUGCACGCUCGUGCGUGUGUGUGUGUGUGUGUGUGUCCAUGUCUACAUCUCAAAAGCCAUAUCUGGCUUCAGAUCAAAUGGUGUAUGAAGGAAGGGAAUGACAGAGAGAGAAAGUGAUAGCUCUUUAAUGUUACCUAUCCACUCUCAAACCCAAAUAUAAGACCAGGAACACAAGGAAUAGGCAAGUGUGUUUUAGAGGAAAAGGAGUGACAUGAAACACUUAUGUAGAAAAGCUGUGAACAUGACGUCGGCUUUGUAGCGGCAGGAAAAUGUCUCACAAAACCGAAAGAAAGUGAGUAAAUUGGAUGCAAGCAAGAGGGAAGGCAGGGGCACGGAAUGAAACGGCAGCGUGCACUGUAUUGUUUGCUCGUGUGUGUCAGCGAUGUUUUGUUUUUGACUGAAUGCUGUCGUGUCUAACUCACCUUUUGCUCAUUUUUCCCCAUUCCUGUUCCGGGAUGUUUAAACUUUCACUGUCAUCAGUGAAGGUGUCAUGGUAAUCAAGGCCUCUGAUGCUUAAAUUGCUGCAUUGUUGUUUCUGGGGAAUUCAUUUAAUUUUUUUGAAUGUUUUGUGUCAGAGAAAUACAAUCUUUAACUUUUUAAUGUUUUUUUAAAUGAAGAAAUAUUAGCCCCUGUGAUUGUUUUUUUCUUUUCUCUUCACCUUUGUCCUUCCUAUUUCCCCUCCUUUUUUUGUUUCCUCUGCAGGUAUGUAGCCUGAGCUGGAAUGGAUGAAAAUAUUUACUGUGUACACACCAUCCACAAAUCCUUUCCCUCUCUUGAUCCCUGGCUUUUAUUGUUUCCCUUCUCUCCCUGCUUUUUACUCCUGUCUUUGAACACGUGCACGCUCUGACACAGAUACGUGAAGAUAUGUGAAUAAAGGUGUUUCUAACAUAG
ensembl:lncRNA